CCCGGGCCUUGUACACACCGCCCGUCACACCAUGGGAAUUGGUUCUACCCGAAGCCGGUGCGCUAACCGUAAGGAAGCAGCCGACCACGGUAGGGUCAGUGACUGGGGUG
rnacentral:rRNA from 1 species